UGGGGGAUAUUGCACAAUGGGCGAAAGCCUGAUGCAGCGACGCCGCGUGGGGGAUGAAGGCCUUCGGGUUGUAAACUUCUUUUGCUCUGAACAAGGCAUGCUAAUGGGUGUGUUGAGUGUAGGGGUUGAUUAGCGCCGGCUAACUACGUGCCAGCAGCCGCGGUAAUACGUAGGGCGCGAGCGUUGUCCGGAAUUAUUGGGCGUAAAGGGCUUGUAGGUGGCUGGUUGCGUCUGUCGUGAAAGCUCAUGGCUUAACUGUGGGUUUGCGGUGGGUACGGGCUGGCUUGAGUGCAGUGGGGGAGGCUGGAAUUCCUGGUGUAGCGGUGGAAUGCGCAGAUAUCAGGAGGAAUACCGGUGGCGAAGGCGGGUCUCUGGGCUGUUACUGACACUGAGGAGCGAAAGCAUGGGGAGCGAACAGG
rnacentral:rRNA from 1 species